UAGUACGAGAGGACCGGAGUGGACGUACCCCUGGUGUUUGGGUUGUCAUGCCAAUGGCAUUGCCCAGUAGCUACGUACGGAAGGGAUAACCGCUGAAAGCAUCUAAGCGGGAAGCCCCCCUCAAGAUGAGAUCUCCCUGGACAUUUAAUGUCCCUAAAGGGCCGUAGUAGACCACUACGUUGAUAGGCUGGAUGUGGAAGUGUGGUAACACAUGAAGCUAACCAGUACUAAUUACCCGUGAGGCUUGACCAU
rnacentral:rRNA from 1 species